rnacentral:rRNA from 1 species
UUCGGUGGCCAUGGCGGAGGGGAAACACCCGGUCCCAUCCCGAACCCGGAAGUUAAGCCCUCCAGCGCCGAUGGUACUGCACGGGAGACCGUGUGGGAGAGUAGGACGCCGCCGGAC